rnacentral:rRNA from 1 species
UACGUAGGUGGCAAGCGUUGACCGGAUUUAUUGGGCGUAAAGAGCUCGUAGGCGGAUCGUUAAGUGUAGAGUGAAAUCUCCAGGGCUCAACCCGGAAACUGCUCUGCAUACUGGCGAGCUUGAGGGGCACAGAGGCAACUGGAAUUCCUGGUGAAGCGGUGAAAUGCGUAGAUAUCAGGAGGAACUCCCAUGGCGAAGGCAGGUUGCUGGGUGCCAUCUGACGCUGAGGCGCGAAAGCGUGGGUAGCAAACAGG